UUGCCCACCUAAGAAAAGGGAGGCCCAGAGAGGGCAGGUCUCUUGCCCAAGGUCACGCAGGAGGCCGACAGAUUCCAUCGCGAACCCCCCUCCCCACUCGCUCGGCCCCUCCAAUCCGCAGCUCUGCGUGCGGGGGCGCGCGUAUCCCUCCGUCUGUCCGUUAGCCCGUCUGUCUGGGUGUCUAUGCGGGCUCAGCCGCGCACCCCGCCCCAGCCGCGGGCGCUGCGCAGGGAGAGACAAGGCGUUCGCAGCGCCCGGCCCGCGCUCCACGCCCGCAACCGCCAGACGGCAGCGCCUGCGUCCGUGCCCGCCCCAGCCGGAGCGCGGGAGCCACCGGGGCAAGGGCGCCGCGGCCGGCGGGCGAUCGCUCGCUCCCUCGCUGCUCUCUGCGCUCGCGGAAGCUAAGCGGGCGAGCCAGCCCCCAGCCCUCCAAGAUGAAGAAGCUGCAGGCAGCUCACCUCCGCAAGCCCGUCACCCCUGACCUGUUGAUGACCCCGAGUGACCAGGGCGAUGUCGACCUGGACGUGGACUUUGCCGCAGACCGGGGGAACUGGACCGGCAAGCUGGACUUCCUGCUGUCCUGCAUCGGCUACUGCGUGGGCCUGGGGAACGUCUGGCGCUUUCCCUACCGAGCCUACACCAACGGAGGAGGCGCCUUCCUCGUGCCCUACUUCCUCAUGCUGGCCAUCUGCGGCAUCCCCCUCUUCUUCCUCGAGCUAUCUCUGGGCCAGUUCUCCAGCCUGGGGCCGCUGGCCGUCUGGAAAAUCAGCCCCCUCUUCAAAGGUGCUGGCGCAGCCAUGCUGCUCAUCGUGGGCCUGGUGGCCAUCUACUACAACAUGAUCAUCGCCUACGUCCUCUUCUACCUCUUCGCCUCCCUCACCAGCAACCUGCCCUGGGAGCACUGCGGCAACUGGUGGAACACAGACCUCUGCCUGGAGCACAGAGGCUCCAAGGACGGCAACGGGGCCCUGCCCCUCAACCUCACCUACACCGUCAGCCCCAGCGAGGAGUACUGGAGCCGCUACGUCCUCCACAUCCAAGGCAGCCAGGGCAUCGGCAGUCCCGGGGCGAUCCGUUGGAACCUCUGCCUCUGCCUGCUGCUGGCCUGGGUCAUCGUGUUCCUCUGUAUCCUCAAGGGUGUGAAGUCCUCGGGCAAGGUGGUGUAUUUCACGGCCACGUUCCCCUACCUCAUCCUACUCAUGCUGCUGGUCCGCGGAGUCACCCUCCCGGGGGCCUGGAAGGGCAUCCAGUUCUAUCUCACCCCCCAGUUCCACCACCUGCUGUCUUCCAAGGUGUGGAUCGAAGCUGCUCUCCAGAUCUUCUACUCCCUGGGUGUGGGCUUCGGGGGUCUCCUCACUUUUGCCUCCUACAACACCUUUCACCAGAACAUCUAUAGAGACACCUUCAUUGUCACUCUGGGCAAUGCCAUCACCAGCAUCCUGGCUGGCUUUGCUAUCUUUUCCGUGCUGGGCUACAUGUCUCAGGAGCUAGGCGUGCCGGUGGACCAAGUAGCCAAAGCAGGCCCCGGCCUGGCCUUUGUUGUCUACCCCCAGGCCAUGACCAUGCUGCCUCUGUCGCCCUUCUGGUCCUUUCUCUUCUUCUUCAUGCUUCUGACCCUCGGCUUGGACAGCCAGUUUGCCUUUCUGGAGACCAUUGUGACAGCUGUGACAGACGAGUUCCCGUACUACCUGCGGCCCAAGAAGGUGGUGUUCUCGGGGCUCAUCUGCGUGGCCAUGUACCUGCUGGGGCUGGUCCUCACCACGGAAGGGGGCAUGUACUGGCUGGUCCUUCUGGACGACUACAGCGCUAGCUUCGGGCUGAUGGUGGUGGUGAUCACCACGUGCCUCGCCGUGACCAGGGUGUAUGGCAUUCAGAGGUUCUGCCGAGACAUCCACAUGAUGCUGGGCUUCAAGCCGGGCCUCUACUUCAGGGCCUGCUGGCUGUUCCUGUCCCCAGCCACGCUCUUGGCCCUGCUGGUGUAUAGCAUCGUCAAGUACCAGCCCUCAGAGUAUGGCAGCUACCGCUUCCCGCCCUGGGCCGAGCUGCUGGGCAUCCUGAUGGGCCUGCUGUCCUGCCUCCUGAUCCCAGCCGGCAUGCUCGUGGCUGUGCUUCGAGAGGAGGGCUCGCUGUGGGAGCGGCUCCAGCAGGCCAGCCGGCCAGCCAUGGACUGGGGCCCGUCGCUGGAGGAGAACCGGACAGGCAUGUACGUGGCCACGCUGGCCGGGAGCCAGUCGCCCAAGCCCCUGAUGGUGCACAUGCGCAACGGCACACACCUGCCAGGGCUCUGCUCUCUGCAAGGCUGAUGAUACCUGCUGCCUGCAUCCUGAGCACAGGCAAGAGGCCGUCCUGCCUUCAAGGUGCACACGCUUUGUAGACAUUAGUUAAGUGACUUUAAACCAGAGACCUGUGGUACACAGCUGACAGUGGUGGGGUACGCGAUGGGGGGAAUUCCAGCCAAAUCCAAGUGGGAGAACCAGCAGCCACAUUCCACGGACAAAGAGUGGAUCUCCGCGGCACAGCAACGCAGUGACCCCGGCCUGGUGCUUCAACUGAAAGACACGAGUGUGGGUGCUUCUGAGGGCACAUGAUUUAGGUCGGGCAGCCAAGCCACC